rnacentral:rRNA from 1 species
UACAGAGGAGCCAAGCGUUGUCCGGAUUGACUGGGCGUAAAGCGCACGCAGGCGGAUGCGCGCGUGGGGUGUGAAAUCUGGCCGCUUAACGGCCAGGCGCCAUCCCAUACGGCGCGUCUGGAGUGAUGCAGAGGUCGAUGGAAUUGCCGGUGUAGUGGUGAAAUGCGUAGAGAUCGGCAGGAACACCCAGGGGGAAACCAGCCGACUGGGCAUCUGCUGACGCUGAGGUGCGAGAGCGUGGGGAGCGAACCGG